rnacentral:rRNA from 1 species
CCUACGGGUGGCAGCAGUGAGGAAUAUUGGUCAAUGGUCGAGAGUCUGAACCAGCCAAGUCGCGUGAAGGAUGAAUGUACAGAGUAUUGUAAACUUCUUUUGUCUGGGAAUAAAAUCUUGGACGCGUGGGCGUUUGUAUGUACCUUAUGAAAAAGCAUCGGCUAACUCCGUGCCAGCAGCCGCGGUAAUACGGAGGAUCCGAGCGUUAUCCGGAUUUAUUGGGUUUAAAGGGUGCGGAGGUGGGUUGUUAAGUCAGCUGUGAAAGUUUGGGGCUCAACCGGAGAAUUGCAGUGGAAACUGGCAGUCUCGAGUAGAGGAGAGGUGUGCGGAAGGCGUGGUGUAGCGGUGAAAUGCAUAGAUAUCGCGAAGAACUCCGAUUGCGAAGGCAGCACGCCGGAUUGCAACUGACACUGAGGCACGAAAGUGUGGGUAUCGAACAGGAUUAGAUACCCGUGUAGUC